UAAACCUACAAGAGUCAUAGAUGUGAUACUGAUACCUUAAUCUGUAAAACUGCUUCACUGUAGUUCCGAACUAACAUACCAUGGUACAAAUUCACAUAUACACAAGACCAAACCUGCAACCUACCUCUAACAUUAAUCUGACAGUGAACAACUGGAAAUCAGAAAAGGACAGGAACAGUUAGCCCAAGUGUAAUUUCCAUGAUAUGCCUUGUAAGCUGAAAUUUACCUCUGUAUAAAGAAAUAGCAAAGAGACAGCCAUGGUUCAGGAGUCUUAUUUAAAUUGCGGUCAGAUUCACUACCGUCUGGCCCUCUGCAGUCACCCUGGAUUCAUGCCCUGCUACUACAAAGAAUAUAAACCCAUCUGCGCACAAAGUGACAUUUACCCUUGCGUUGGUUUUAUCACUUGUGGUGUUCUCCCCUUGCGUUGGAACACCGCCAUUCUGACUCAUGCGGUUGUACUGGCAAACCUGGGCUUGCAUACGUUACAAACUGAUCUCGAGAGGAGCGUAAGAAGGUAUCUCAUAAUCUUGAAGCAAAACUCUUUCAAAAGAGGAAAAUGCUGCUUCCAGUAUACCGUUCUCCAGCUGAGCUGAGAGUGACUUCCCAAGAUAAGACCCUGCUGUUACUCAGUUUCUAAAUAAGGCUCUGAUUUCACAAGCUGAACAAAUCUGGACUGACUCCAUACUGGAUUAACAGACUUCUAGCAAAAACAAGUUUUGCUACAGGAAACGUGGUGACAUAACAAGUUCAGCUUGGUCCUGAUCUCAAUACAGUCAUCAGAGGACACGUGGGUACUUUGAGUAGGAACAGAGGUGCUAUGCACUCUCCUCUGGGUGAAUCUUUUCUGCUUCUCUGCAUCAAAAUGGAUGAAGUUACACUGCACCUGCUUAAAGCUUGCAGCUUUACAGCUACUGUUCGUCCUCAUUUCCUACCCAGGGCUGCUAGGGCUGGCUAAGCUUAAGUAGCUG
rnacentral:lncRNA from 1 species